GCAAGUAGUUUUUGUUCUAUCUGUCAUUUGACUUUGAUUUUUGUCUGAUUCUGUAGACAGAAUUCACUUUUUUAGCAUGGUAACAGGUAAAUACAAACAUUUAAAUUCCCAAGUAGCUCAUUUUUUUUAAAGCUCCAUUUGUUAAAUAAUCCAUUCCCUGUAGUUUGCUGAUGCAUUAUUUAUCAAGUAGUAAAUGCAUGCAUGUCUCACUGUCUGUUUCUGGGCUAUUUAUUCUGCUUCAUUGAUCUCUGGAUCUUUUAAAAGUAGAUUAUCACUAAUUGAUAUAAAGACUGGUAGUUUCAUCAAGUCUGUGGAUACUUGUCUUGGAUACACUUCAGUUCUACUGACUUCUUAACAAAAUACUUUCACAGAGUGCUUGUGCCAGUUCACUACACAAUGAACACCAAGAAGAAGAAAAUGUAUUAAUAAUGAAGAGACCAGAUAAAAUCUUUUUUCUUUUCAACUGUGGCAGGCAUUCUCAGGUAGUGUCUUGCACCCAUUUAUUCUUACCAAUUUCAAAAUCCACUGUGAUGUAAGAGCAGUUUGGAUUUAGAACACAGAUGGCACUAUUCAGUUGGAGACUGCUUUUAUAAAUCAAGAUUUAAUCAGAAAGCCUUCUACCAAAAAUCUAUCAGGCCCAGGGUAGAAGACUAGAACCUCAGGAAAGAAGUCGGGAUUUUAAUGCUUUCUCCAACUAACUGUGUAAUUUUCAGCAACAUUUCUAAGUAAUUCUUUUUUUUUCUUUUUUUUUCUAAGUAACUCUAAAAUUAUGAAUUUUGAGGGAAUGGUAUCAAGUUCAAAAAUACAGGUGCCAUUUUAUUUUUGUCAAUGGCCCUAAUUCAAGGUCAUUUUAGUGCUAUGUUGGAACCAAAAUCUUCCUAUGCUGCUAUUUGUUCUCAUUUAUAUUUGCCCACACUAGAAAUCUGGAGACUUAAUCCAGGAAAAGAUUUACACUAUAUUUGCCAAGGCUUACAAAUAGGUAAGGUAUCUAUGACGAUGGCCAUACUACACAGUUAAGGUACAUGGUCUCUGGAAACCAAUAAUGACCUUAUAUGCUUCCUUUCUUGGGUACCUGGAGAACAUUUUCAAUAGCUGGAUAACAUUUAUACAAGAGCCAAGUUAAUAAAUGAUAAAAGAAAUUGCUGGAUUUUGUUUAUAUAGGUCAAGUAGCUAAGUCGUAAACCCAGAAAGCAGGAAGUGUUUAUUGAGAACAUAUUAUAUAAGCAAUAGUCCUUUAAUAGUGAGUCUUCUGAAAAUCUGAUGAACUGAGAACCUAUCCAGAAACAUCAAUUUGUGUCUGCCAUGUCUUCAACAAACACUAAUACCUGGGCUUACUAGGAAGUCUGUCUGAAUUACUGGGUGGCAUGAAAUUAGCCUGCCAUCUCAGCGUACAUGACCUUGGGUCUUGAGGACAUGGCAUCACAAAUUCCUUGAUAAUGGAGGACUGUGCAUUUACCAUGUGCUGUUUGAAAAUAAACCUUGGAUUAAUUCAGACCAAAAUUCUGUGAUGAGGUUCCUUGAAUCUGGUGCCUAAAUUCCAAAAUCCAUCCAAUCUUACUGUUUUGUAUUCAAGAUCAAUUUGUUAACUCGUUGUGCCUCUGACUAUGCAUAUCAUAUGUAGGUAUAUAUAUGAAAUUUUAUGUAGUAUUUUCCAUUUAAAAAUUUAGCAAUGCACCAAAAAUGGAAAUCAUCCAAAAUCCCACUUCAAAGAGAUAAGAGGGUAAGGAAGUGGAAGAGCAAUACACAAAUCUGAAUGUAUCCGAAUCUGAAGCCCAUGCCUUUCCAUCAUUGCAUGCUAGUAUCACUUCCAUUUCUGUGGGAGAUUGAGUUGGUCUGUAUCCCAGGAAUGUUGAUAAUUUUAGUGCCUCAAAUUAAUAUCCCUUAAAUAUUCAUUCAGCAGUUAUAUAGUGUAAAUAAGACAAUUUGAUUUGUUUUUGGUUAACACAACAUAUAUGUUGAAACAAAUUCACUUACUGAUUCACUUCCAAUAAUUAAUGGAAAGUCAACAUUGUUUAAAAAUCUAGCAAAACAUUUUCUACCUCUCAGUGUUUCCUUCUUUAUUUUGGGGUCAUUUUGUUAUUUUCUGACUAUACUACUUCUUAAGAGACGAAAGGCUUUAACUAAACAUGUCCUAAAUUAUUACUUGCUCCCAGUAAAAGCAUCACUCAAUGUACUAAUGUGUUUCAGAUUCUCAGCAGGAUCGAACUUUAUGUGCACAUGACAAAGAUAUGGAACAGAGAUGGGUACUUGCCGGAGAAAAAGGACAAGAUAUGUCCUUUAGUGUUGAAACUUGAGUUCCAAUUAAGAAGAUCACAUGAACAUCCAUGGAAAGUCUGGUUGUGGAAAUCAGGGUCAUGGUGAGAGUAGAGUCAAGGAGAUGUGUCCUGAGAACCAAACCUGCCUAUGGCACAGCCCAGCAUAAAGCCCCUGGUCUGUGCAAAUAUGGGGUCCAGAACCAUAAAUUCCAACGGAAAAUGCUUCACUAAGCCACCCUAAUAACAUCAGAAGCUAUGGAGAGAGAAUUACACGGUCGAAGGUGCCCAAUAUAAUAUUAUUCAGCAACAGGUGAGAUACAGCUCUUCAAUCUCUGUUCCUCUUGAGUUGAAUCUUAUGCUCCAAUAAAACUGAAUGACACUUGGUUCCUUGAAAAUACUAGUAGACUCACAUCUCUAUGACCUUCAUAACAUUUCCUUUUCCACAAUUCAUUGAUUUGAAAAACCAUGUUCCAUGUCCAUUAUUGACCAGGUCCUCCUUUAUUGCCAGAGACAUAAACCCCAAUAGAAGAGGAUUCCCACUAUUAUAACAGGGAGUAAAAAGCACAAGUGACGCAAGUCUGACAAUGACCAGCAUGCUCUGCGAGCCCAUAUGAGGAGAACCUAAUUGAAACCCCAUGCUUAGGGAGGUGGGGAAGGCAUGUGGAGAGAGAUAAUCCAUGGGUUUAUUUGCCUGGCAAACGCACAAGUUUCCAGAUUUAGCUCAUGUUUGAUUUCUCUAUAAAAAUAUUUGUCCCUUCUUCUCUAUUCUCCAUCCCCUCUUCUGAGCCAAACAAGUACAUUAUAAUAAUUAUUUCUUAACCACUCAUAAGUGUUACAUAGCACAGAGUCCUUAUAAGAGAGUAUGAAAUACUGGGAAUUGGUUUCCUUACUUGCUGUGACAAAGUACCACCAACUUAAUGGCUUAAAACAGCAUGCAUUUGUUCUCUUACAGUCCUAAAGGUCAGGUGUGCAAAAUGAAUAUUUUAGGACUGAAGCAAGAUGUCAGCAGGUCUGCCUUUCUUUGAGAGGUUCUAGAAGGGAAGAAUCUGUCUCCUCACCUCUCCUAGCUUCCUAUAAGAUAUCUGUAUCCCUUAAUCCAUGGCCUUAUCCUCCACCAUUAGAUUGUGUCACUCCAACCUCAGCUGCCAUUGCCACAUGUCCUUUUUCUGGCUUGAACCCUCUGCCUCCUUCUUAUGAGGACCCUUGUGAUUACCUCAGGCCAAGCCAGAUAAUCCAGCACAAUGGCUCCAUCUCAAGAUCCUUACCUUAAUCACACUUGCAAAGUCCUUUUUGCUAUGUGAGGUUACAUUUUCACAGAUUUAGGGGAGCAGGGUGUAGAUAUCUUUGAGGGAAGGGCUAUUGUUCUGGGCAGCUGAGGCUAUGUUUUAUUUACUUCUGAAAUCACAAGUAGAUAUUGCUUGCUAAACAAAUAAUAGUCACUGAAUUUACAUCUGUUGUAUGUACUGGGGGUUUAGAGAUGUGGAAUUAGCAAGACAAAUUAGGAAGAUAUUUCUCUGCCUGUGUUCCUCACCCAAUCUAAAAUGACUGCAUCUAUCUCAGAGGCAAAAUCUAUCUUGAUUUCUAAAGAUAUUAUUGCAUGGUUUUCUAGCUUCAUUAUUACUCUUGAAAACAUAGUUAUCAGGUCAGCAAUACAGCAGAAUAGAUGUUUUCUACCAAUAUCCCUACCACAAAACAUUGAUUUUGACAGUCAUUAAUGGACAAGAGUAGCUUUGUGGGAGUCCGAGAGUUCAGUGGAUAAGUUUCAGCACACAGUUGUACCAAAAAAAUCUAAGAAUAAAUUCUUUGAAGAGGAUGAGAAGAACAGUUUCACUUUACCCACAUCACCUCUCUCCCAAAGCAGCACAGCUCAGUGCCAAGAAAGUAUACUUGAGCCUUUGAUUUCUCUCAUGGGGAAAGUGAAAGCAUAGGGAGUGAGCGCCCAGCUUCCCCAGACCAGCCAAGUGGGACGCUGUUCAGAAGGCCCACUUCUGUCUUGCUCAAUUCUGAAGAGGUGACUGAUGUGGCUGAGGGAUUGGGAGAGGCUGGCAGCAUGACAACCAGGGCUCAGAACUCAUUAAAGGGACAUGGAUCCUACUACUUAACAUACUCCAUUAGGAAGCCCACCCAUUUGCCCCUUGGGAUGCUUCUUUUACAGACCCAUCAACUGACUCACCCACUUCAAUGUGCCACUUGUCUCAUCAACCCUUAGUAGCUGGUACCCUGCACAUGCCUCCAUGGACAAUGAAUGGGAGCCUUUGCAGAAGGCAUGCAAGUACAUGCAGAAAGCUGACCAACUCUAGGAUUGGAAGAAGACACACAAAUAGGCUGAAAGUGAAGGGAUGGAAAUAGAUAUUCCAUGCCAAUGGAAACCAAAAGAGAGCAACAGUAGUCAUACUUAUAGUAGACAAAACAGACUUUAAAUAAAGAAUUAUAUCAAGAGACAAUGAAGGUCAUUAUAUAAUAAGGGGGCCAAAUGAUCAAGAGAAUAUAACUAUUGUAAAUAUAUAUGCACCCAAUUUUGGAGAACCUCAAUUUAUAAAGCACUUAUUAAUAGAUCCAAAGGGAGAAACAGCAAUACAAUAAUAAUAGAAGAUUUCAAUGCCCCAUUUAAAAUAAUGGAUAGAUCAUUCAGAUGGAAGAUCAAUAAGGAAACAUUGAACUGGAAUUACACUUUAGACCAAAUGGACCUCCCAAAUGUAAAUGCAACACUCCAUCCAACUGCAGCAGAAUACACAUUCUUCUAAAGUGCACAUGGGACAUUCUUCAGGAUAGAUCACCUGAUAAGUCACAAAACAAGUAUUAACAAAUUUAGGAAGAUUGAAAUUAUAUCAAUUCACUUUUCUGGCCACAGUGGUAUAUAUAAAACCAGAAAUCAAUUAGCAGGAGAAAAUCGGAAAAUUCACAACUAUGUGGAAAUUAAACAACAUGCUCUUGAACAACCAACGGAUCAAAGAAGUAAAAAAAGAAAUAGAAAAAAGAAUCUUAGAACAUUAUAGUGGAGGCACAACAUAUCAAAACUUGUGAGAUAGAUAUAGCAAAAAUAGUUCUAUCAGGAAAGUUCAUAGUGAUAAGCACCUAAGUUAAGAAAACAGUAAGACAUCAAAUUAAAAUAACUAUACAUAUCAAGAAAUUAGAAAAAGAAGAGCAAACCAAACCAAAAGUUAUCAGAAGAAAGGAAACAACAAAUACCAAAGUAGGAAAAUGCAAAUGAAAACCACAAUGAGAUUUCAUUUCAUACUUGUUAGGAUAACUAUUACCAAAAGGUCAAAAGAUAACAAGUAUUAGUAAGGAGGUAGAGAAAAGGAUACACACUUGUACAUCAUUGGUGGGAACAUAAAUCAGUAUAUCCAUUAUGGAAGCUCUUCAAAAAAUUGAAAACAGAACUACUACAUUAUCCAGGAAUCCCACUUUUGGAUAUAUAUUCAAAGAAAGUAAAAUCAGUGUAUCAAAGAGCUGCACUUCCAUGUUCAUUGCUGCAUUAUUCACAAUAACUAAUAAUUAUUCCAGUAUGUGGAAAAAAACCAAGUGUCCAUUAACUGAUGAAUAGAUAAAGAAAAUGUGGUACACACACACCCAAAUUAAACAUUACUCAGUUUUAAAAAGAAAGAAGGGGGGAUCCCUGGGUG